CCAAACCUCAACAACGUAAGGGCAGGUUUCCCCACCCCUUCACACUAAAGGUCUCAUGCUAGUGAUUAAACUGUUUAGUUCUGUUGUCUAGCUGGAAACCAACCACCUCAUCCCGCUUUCACAUUACUGAUGCAGUAUGCUGACGGCUGUCCACUUAACAGAUUACAAGGGUCAUUUAGUUUCUUCUCAUAAUAAAAUCCCAUCUUUUUUUACAGGGCCUCAAUAUCAUCUUUGUCUGUGGCAAUAAUAAUGGCAGGUUCUUCUUCCGGACUGCAACACUCUUAAAUAAUACACUGCUGACAACAAAUGUACCCAAUGUAAACAAUAUCCAGGGUUCGAUACAACCAAGCUUGAUUCAGUGUGUUUUCAGCAUCCCCAUUGAUGCAAACACUAUCAACUUCCUAAACAAUGUCAAUGUCACAAAUGUCAACAUUAGCAACAUUGCUAAUUCCCAGCUGAAUGUUUUCCUUGACGUCUUGCAGGGUUCAACCAAUGGAACUGUUCUGGGAGGACCAAAAAGUGUAUUUAGGUCCUCUGUUCCAGUGAAUCUAGCUAAUGUCAACUCUACUAAUGUUGUAAGCCCCACAGCUAAUUCAAAAGCCAGCAUCUCACUCAACAGCCUACUGAGUCAUGCUGCAAUUUGCCUACUCAGUAUCUUCUUGCAUCUGAUCUGAGGGGCCGGAGAGAGUCCUGAAGACUAAUCGUGCUGUGGGUGGAGUAGUAUAGAUAUGCACUAGCAUCAGCAUGUUUUCCUAAAAUAUUCAUACCUCCGCUGGAUUCUUUCUUUAUUCGAUUCUUAGAUUAUUCACAAACAUAUAGCAAACCCAUGUAUGUUUGACAUAUACAGGGUGUUGGACACAUAUAAUAAAGCCUAACUCUUUUAAUCAUCCUCUAACAUUAUACUGACAGUGGAAAUGGUCCUGAAAACUUUUUGAAGUUACAUUAAAAGCUUAUUAACAAACAUAAUAACAUUAAAAUACAGUGUUAUUUUU